rnacentral:rRNA from 1 species
UAACUGCGAAGUGAAGCGGGAAAAGCUCAAAUUUAAAAUCUGGCGUCCUCCAGGCGUCCGAGUUGUAAUCUGGAGAAGCGUUUUCCGCGUCGGACCGUGUACAAGUCUUCUGGAACGGAGCGUCAUAGAGGGUGAGAAUCCCGUCUCUGACACGGACUACCGAUGCUUUUGUGAUGCGCUCUCGAAGAGUCGAGUUGUUUGGGAAUGCAGCUCAAAAUGGGUGGUAAAUUCCAUCUAAAGCUAAAUAUUGGCCAGAGACCGAUAGCGAACAAGUACCGUGAGGGAAAGAUGAAAAGCACUUUGGAAAGAGAGUUAAACAGUACGUGAAAUUGUUGAAAGGGAAACGCUUGAAGUCAGUCGCGUUGGCCGAGACUCAGCCUGGCUUGCCUGGUGUACUUCUCGGUUGACGGGUCAGCAUCAGUUUUGACCGUCGGAUAAAGGUUGGAGGAAUGUGGCAUCCCUCGGGAUGUGUUAUAGCCUCUGAUUCGCAUACGGCGAUUGGGACUGAGGAACUCAGCACGCCUUUAUGGUCGGGGUUCGCCCACGUAACGUGCUUAGGAUGCUGGCAUAAUGGCUUUAAGCGACCCGUCUUGAAACACGGACCAAGGAGUCUAACAUGCCCGCGAGUGUUUGGGUGUUAAACCCGUAGCGCGUAAUGAAAGUGAAAGUUGAGAUCCCUGUCGUG